GAGAGGCCGAAACUGAUCCCAUUCGACCGGCUUGCAACUGGCCAACUCUGGUUCAUUCACUGUAUCCACGGCGUACGGGAUCAAGUUCUGUUGGCCGUCUGGCAUUUCUCGCUCCAUAUAUGUGUCAACAAGCAAGGAUAUCUGGAUUGAGAAGUGGCCAAAUGAUGAAGAAUGCCAGGGGGAACAAUUGCAGAACUUGUGCAAUGAAUUCAUUGCAUUUUCUAAUUUUCUGGUUGUCUUGGGGUGUCCUAACUAAAUACAGAGGAGUCACCUGCAGCAACUGAUUUGCAUAAAAUGGAUUUGAGCCAAUGUUUGGAAGACAUCUUCACUCUCAAAGUUCAGCUUCCUAUAGUUUAUGCUCUCCUG